rnacentral:rRNA from 1 species
AUACGGAGGAUGCGAGCGCCAUCCGGAUUUAUUGGGUUUAAAGGGAGCGUAGGCGGGAGCUUAAGUCAGCGGUUAAAUGGUGCGGCUCAACCGUGCCCUGCCGUUGAAACUGGGUUUCUUGAGAGUGCAAGAGGCGGAUGGAAUUCAUGGUGUAGCGGUGAAAUGCUUAGAUAUCAUGAAGAACUCCGAUUGCGAAGGCAGUCCGCUGGGGCACGUCUGACGCUGAUGCUCGAAGGUGCGGGAAUCAAACAGGAUUAGAUACCCUGGUAGUCCGCACGGUAAACGAUGAUUACCCGCUGUCGGCGGUAGACAGUCGGCGGCCAAGCGAAAGCGAUAAGUAAUCCACCUGGGGAGUACGCCGGCAACGGUGAAACUCAAAUGAAUUGACGGGG